CUUUCCCAGUAGGUAGGAGUUGGAUGCCACUGUGUCACCCAGUCACCCCACCUUGACAUACAAACUGAGGUGCCAGACAGUGUGUUAAGAAGACAAAAUAAGAUGCGUUCCUGCCCCAAGGGACCCCUAGAGCAGUGGAGGAGACAGACAAGAGACUCUGAGGAUGAUGUGUUCCAGUGAAAUUUGAAGACUAUUCUGAGACUUCCAGUGGGCCACUGGCUAUGUUACUUCUCUUCCACAAUUCCAGUUCCACAUGCCACCAGCAUCCCUCACUGAAGUCAGAAAUCAGCAUCAUCCCAGCAGCCCGCUCUGCCCAGUCCAGCAGGUCACCAAGCUCGUCAACACAAAUCCCCGCAAAGCUCUUAGGUUCACCACCUCCUCUCCAUCCCCACUGCCACCACCAUCUGGGGAACCUUCGUUGCCCACAUGAAGACAGCAAUGGUGUCCUACACGGGUCUCCCUGCCCCUGGUCCUGCCCCUCCAUCUUAUUCUCCACAGCGCAGCUAAAAUGCCGUUUUAAAGAUUCAGAUCUGAUCCGCCGUUCUCUUGCUUCUAAA